UCAUUCUGAGAGGUGGGCGUGUUGCUAACCGGAAGAGGGUGUAGCUUGGGAGGCCGGUGCUUCGGUUGCUGUCGCAGAUCAGGGCCGGAGCUGGUUUCCUCUUCUCUUCUCGUAAACAGCGCUGCGGUGUGCCAAGAGUGCCCGGGGAGCGAUGCGGCCGGGCGGGGAGCUGUGAGAGCGGAGUUCCUGAGAGAGAAGCCGGCCAUUGGCGACAUGGAGAACGAGUUCAAGAGCAUAGACGAGGAGAACCGCUGGAGUCCGCUUUAUGGAGAAAUACGAUUUAAGUCACCUGUGUUGCCCAAUAAGAUAGCAAAAAAUACAGAGAAUAAAAACAGGAACAGAUACAGAGAUGUAAACCCAUAUGACCAUAGCCGUGUCAAGCUGCAGAAUGUGGAUAAUGAUUAUAUCAAUGCCAGUCUUGUGGUUGUUGAAGAAGCUCAAAGGAAUUACAUUCUAACACAGGGCCCUCUCCCCAACACCUGCUGUCACUUCUGGUUAAUGGUGUGGCAGCAGAAAAGCAAAGCAAUUGUAAUGCUGAACCGAGUCAUUGAGAAGGAUGCGGUAAAGUGUGCACAGUAUUGGCCUACUCCUGAGGACGAAGUGCUUCCUUUUAGGGAAACAGGACUAUGUGUACAGCUGUUAUCUGAAGAUAUUAAAUCAAACUACACAGUCAGAGUGUUACAGCUACAGAACAUCAAUACAGCAGAAUCCAGAGAAAUAUUCCAUUUUCAUUAUACCACGUGGCCAGAUUUUGGUGUACCAGAGUCCCCAGCCUCAUUUCUAAACUUUUUGAUUGAAGUCCGGAAUUCUGGUUCCCUGGAUCCUAAUUAUGGGCCCUCCGUUGUACACUGCAGUGCAGGGAUUGGGCGUUCUGGGACCUUUUCAUUGGUUGAUACCUGUCUUGUACUGAUUGAGAAAAGGAAAGAUCCCUCCACUGUGGACAUUAAACAAGUGCUAUUGGACAUGAGGCGAUACCGAAUGGGACUAAUUCAGACACCUGGUCAACUGAGAUUUUCCUAUAUGGCUGUAAUAGAGGGAACAAAAAUGAUAAUGGGAAGUUCAAGUCAACAGAAUCCGUGUACAGACAUUUCCAAAGAUGACCAAUCUGACAAAGUGGACAAUAAACAGACAGAUGAACGAUAUAAUGGGAACAGUCUCCAUACUGAAGAAGAGGAGCAGUCUGAUGGUAAAUCUCAAGAAGCAGACUCUGAUGCUCAAAGUACGCUUCGGAAAAGGGUGCGAGAUAGUAGAAAAGCCAACACUGCACAAAAAGUGCAGCAGAUGAGGCAGAAGAUGAAUGAAGUGGAGCUAAAAAGAAAAAGCUUUUAGAAACCCAGGGACACCAAGGUACAGCCUAUCUGCUUUAUUUCAAGGGCAACUUGAAGAGCAACUAGGAGCUUCAGGCCGAGGCUCCUCGAUACCUAAACCUGUGCAGCUUGUGACUAUUCUACAGCAGUUACACUGAGAGUCCAUUGACAUGCAAAGCAAGACAUGAAACCCUCUUCAGGAGAAAUAUGUGAGGUUCAUUAAUGUGCUGACCUCAUUGUGUUAUCUGUUUACCGCGUAAACGUCUCCAGCCAGGGGGUGAAGGACAUCACCAGCAUGAAACUUUGCAGACCAAGUUCACUUCAAGUAUCGUUGGGUGUUUUAUAAUGCAUGUGUUCUAGAAUCUAUGUAAGAUACAGUAGAAAAGUACUUUGUAUCAUUCUGCCAUUUACAUUGUAUUUUUAUACUUUUUGGCAGCAUUAAAUAUUUUUUUAAAAUGUUA